rnacentral:rRNA from 1 species
CCUACGGGUGGCAGCAGUGAGGAAUAUUGGUCAAUGGACGAGAGUCUGAACCAGCCAAGUAGCGUGAAGGAUGACUGCCCUAUGGGUUGUAAACUUCUUUUAUAUGGGAAUAAAAUGUUCCACGUGUGGGAUUUUGUAUGUACCAUAUGAAUAAGGAUCGGCUAACUCCGUGCCAGCAGCCGCGGUAAUACGGAGGAUCCGAGCGUUAUCCGGAUUGAUUGGGUUUAAAGGGACCGGAGGUGGAUUGUUAAGCCAGUUGUGAAAGUUUGCGGCUCAACCGUAAAAUUGCAGUUGGAACUGGGUGGUUGGAGUGCAGGAGGGGUAGGCGGAAGUGGUGGGGUAGCGGUGAAAUGCGGAGAUAUCAGGAGGAACACCGGUGGCGAAGGAGGUGGGCUGGACUGAAACUGACGUUGAGGCUCGAAAGGGUGGGGAGCAAACAGGAUGAGAUACCCGAGUAGUC